AUUUGCAAUUCAAAUCAUUUUCUGAACUACAAAGUCAGACUUUUUCCUAACCUGCCUGCAGCAAUGUGGGGACCCUUGUCAAUGUUUCUUCACAACAAAAAGCACCCAGCUGAUGCUGGGAGUCAUUUGAAAUCUGCAGUUUUCACCUGAAGGCCUUAGGAUUAAAAAUAGCAGCUCUGUUUUCCUUGACACACAUCACAGGACACAACUCUCUAGUGGUCACCCUCAGAAUCGCCACCAGUACAAAAGGGGAGGAGAUGGUUCCCAGAUGAUCGGGCAGCACUGGGCUCCCCAUAGGGUGGUUGGGACCCUUGCUCCCACCCGUGCUGUCCCGGGCUGAGCACUGUGGCUGAGCAAGGGCUAUGAAUGGGACUGCUCGGGCUGCAGCUUGCACUGCACCAUUGGGGCGUGAAGCAGCAGCCCCAGAGGGCAGCAGAGGCUCCCUGAAGAGGAAUAUCUCCUAACAGCCAUCCUAAUUCUCCUGUCCUGCUAUUUUUGUCUGAUUCCCAGCAGAUAAGGAAAGCAAGCCCUUAGUCCUCUACAGGAGCCUUUUUUGGAACUGAAAACUGUCAUCCUCAUUCCUACUCUUUUCCAUUUCCAUGAGUGAAUGGAACCCCUUCUCUCCAUCUCUCCUUAGAGGCUGUCUCUACAUCUCUGGUCACUCCUGUUGCUGCCCUCUGGGCUCUUGCCAGCUGAGCCCCAUCAUUCUUGAUGACCAGUGCCCAAAAUUGGAUGCAGGAUAACAGCUGAGCCUUUAGCAACAGGAGAGGGAAGGUUUACUUCAUGUGUCUUACAUACAACUCUGCUGUUUAUAAAUUCCAGCAAGAUAGCUGAAAAAAAAAAAUAAUAAAGGCAAAUACAAUGUCCUGGCAACCCUUGAGAUUUGGGUACCAUGGAGAUGAGGACCUUGUAAGUACACAGACAGAGGCGUGGAUGAAAUGCAGGCUUUGACCAGUCAGACAAAGGGAAGUGAGCCUGGGUGAGCAGCACAAGGAGCACACUGCUGCUGGUCUGCAUGCAAGCCAGUGAACACAUUGGGAGCUAUGUGGUCAUCUCCUCUGGGGACAUGCCAGGUGUGGUUGGUGUUGCUGGUGACUCCCAGCCCAUGGGGGCUCCAAGCAACCCACAAACUGAGGGGGUGUGAGCCUUCCUGCUGCUUAGCUUGGCUUCCAGUGCCUGCAGCUGUAGGCAUGCCUACUCAGGCUGUUCUCCAUUGCUUUCCACCUCUGGAGGAAAAAGCUUUCUGUGAAAGGAUGAGCUGUGUUUUUUGUCUCCCCUUCAGCCCAAGCACCAGGCAAGAGGCCAGUGACUUCUGCAGAGUUGGGCUCUGUCGAGGAGACAGCAGGAGGCGAGCGGAGCAUCCUGGUGGUGGCUGGAAUCCCUGUCACCAUAGCGACUGGAGGAAUCCUUAAAUAUAGAUGUGGUUCUUCCCCAUACCCUUGCUGUCCUUUCAUCUGUAACACAGCAACAAACGGGCUUGGCUUCCUUCUGCAUGCAACCUGAUGGAGCCCCGAAGGCCAGAAAUGUGCCGGCUUUAUGGUUUUAUAAGCCCUGCUACGUGCAGUGUUUGAGGCAGAGACCCACUGAUAGUGGGUUGGGUCCUGCGCCAUUCACAGCUCUGUGGGUGGGCUCCAAGUACUGGUUGAGCUCGGUGAAAAUCCUCAGAUGGGUUGGACUGGAAUAAAGAAUCCACUAGCAAGGCUGGAAAUCACUUAAUUCCUGCAGCUCCUGGAGGAGAUGCCCCAUUUUUGCAGCAAAGGCUAGGGAUGAAGUGAGUAUCCUGGUUGUUGUGUGGCCCCAGCUGGGCUCCCCAUGCCGGCACGCUGUGCAGGAAGGUCAUGCUCAUGCUUUCCAGGCUGUUCCUGCAGGGCAGAGAUGUCUCUUACCAGGGCUGCCAGCCACUGCUGCCCCUGGUGUUGAGGUCUGUGACUUCCUUCUGUGGCUGUGAACCAGAGCUCCUGACUUUCCCAGCAUGAAAUGGGUUCUCUCCUGACAAUGCUGUGCUGAUGGGAAAUGUUUUAGGGGCUUUGUGGUCUUUCACAGGCUGUAAGUAUACACCCGAAGAGGUUUCUGGGAGGAGACGGCACUGUUUUGAGCAGUAAGGAGGGGCUGAGAUCUAGCUCUUGGAAGCUGAAGCUAGUCCAAAUGAGACCAGCACUAAAUGUCCAUGUUAACAGCCUCGUUAACCACUUGAUUGGUGAACUGAGAACACUCAUGUUAUCAUGAAGUCCAAGUUAUUACAGGGGAUAGAAAGGACAUCAGCUGCUCCCUGCUGCCAGCCUGGGAGCUGCAGCAACUCUGCAUGUGCCCUGGGUCGCACUCUGCUGCCGGGAGAGCUCUGCCUGCUCUGUGCUGGGACACAUCCCCAUUGUUUUUACUGGUUUCCCUUUUUUUUUUUUUUUUUUCCCUUUGUAAAUGCUGUGUAGAGGACUGUUACCUCUGGGAUCUUUCUUCCUGUGACACCCUGCUGCUGUCCCAUCUCCCUGAGCACCAGCAGAGUGCAAAGGGUCAAUGAAUGUGUGCUGUGUGCCACGCAGGAGCUGCUUGCACCAGCACCGGACCAAAGGGCUGGGCCAGGACAUUGCUGCCAUCAGGAAUUUAAACCCAACAGAUUCCUUGGUGUGAAUGGUGCAGGGAAAGCAGAUCUCUAGGCAAGAGGAGCGUCUCAGUACCGCAGCAUGCCGUGGGAAACAGGAGCGAGCGUGCGUGCUGCAGAGGCACAGGCAGGCAGGAGCACCCUGCAGUGUGCAGUGAGCCUGCGGAGCGAUGCCCUCAUCCUGCUGCAAUUUGUGUGCACCCAGCCAAGGGGCAUCUCCUGUGCACCCACCCGAACCUCCUUUGCCCUCCUCCACAGUGCUGAACCCCCUUAGGCUGGGCAAAAUCACUGUCUAUAAAACUGACCGAGUGCCUUUGGUGUCUCCAGUGUGUGAUUACACACCAAAACUACCUGUUAAGGUUGUUCAUUCCUCGGCGUUCUGCACAGGUUCUUUUAGAAAUUCACACUUCUUAAUUAAAUAUGGGGUUUUACGCCAUAGAUUAGGAACCAGAGUCCCCAAACUACAGGAAUUAUUUACUGGUGCAAUGUAGUGGGAAAGCUCCCAGGUUCCUGACUUUGCUGUAGCAUAGUUUCAUUCUGUUAGCUAAACUGUUGUAAUUUCAUUGUUAGCUUAUUAUAUUAGAAGGGUAUUCGGACCACAAAACCAAGUGACUGAUUGAUCUGAUUUGCUGAAUUUAAGGUUUUCCCAUAAAAUCCUAGUUCUUCUCCUUUGUUCCUCUGUGAAGAAGUGCAAUCUGGAUCAAGUUUCUUUUUUUCUUUUCUUUUUAUUUUUUUUUCCCUCUUAAUAACAGUCCUGUCUCUGUUAAUAUUGGAUACUUUUCUCUUGAUUCAGUCACUGAAAAUGGCUAAUUUUCCUGAGAUUGUCUUUGAUUCCUACUUAGAGCCCAAUAAUCAGCAUGGAAAAUUCCAACCUGAGCAGUGUUAAUUGUGACAAAACCUGAGUACAAAAGAACUCUGGUGCAUCAGGCAUCAGAUGCACCUGUUAAAUGCAGCCGUAGGAGGCUGCUCUUGUAAACCAGCUGUUUUCUGUUCUCAGAUUUAUUUUCCUCCUGUUGACCUCUUCUGAUUUGGAGCAGAAAGACCUGAGGUUACAAAUCCUAGGUUUUAACAACGGAAGAUUUGUCUUUGGGACGUUACAGCCAGAAAAGGAUAUCAUGGCUAAACAUGAAUUGAAAACUCAGUAAAACAUCACGGACUUGCCUUUCAUUAGCUGGUCAUCUUCUGCUUCUCUGUAAGGUUGUUCACAAUUGCUACAGGGCUGGCUUCAAACCCAACAAGUGCACUGAUCAGUCCGUUGGGGUGGAGAACUGGCAGCAGAAAAUGGCACUCAGAAUGCCAGUGCUGUACGCCUGCUGUGAAGCUGUGAACCUGCAGCUUCAGUGCUGCAUGGCACUGGGUGCCUGGGGGCCCCAGGAUCCUUUCUAGGAACUGAACAUCGGGUGUGCCAAAGUGAGCUGCAUCACAGAGACACAUUUCAGGGGAAAAAGUAGCUGUCAGGAAGAUUGAUGCUUUAAGAACAGACAGCAAGGGCUGCUAUUCACAGUGCUGAUUCUGACUGCAGCAAGAACUCUGGAGCACACCAAAAAAUGCAGCACUCCCUCUGGGCACACACAGAUGCAAGUGGCAGGCUUGCAUUCCUGGGGGCUAUUAGCUUCUCUAAGUGGGACAGCAGCUGCUGGCAGCCUGGGCGUUUCCUCUUGGAGGCAGCACGAACCCUGGGGACUUGCUCAGCUCCUUGAGCUGCUGCUAUCCAUGGCUGUUGGUACACAGCAGCAAAGCACAGGGCAGGGAAGGACUAUGCAGCCACAUGUGGAACCCCAAAAACCAGUGCACUUUUAACCAGAGACAGGUCUGGACAAGAGAACCACCUUCUCAUUUCUGGGCAAAGGAGCCCAAGGAAACUGGUGAGAGCAUCUCCACCUUCCUGGCAUCCCCCAUCACACAGGGUGAUACAGAAGGUGCAGAUGAGUCCUGCUGAACAUCCCUCCAGGCCUGGUGAGAAUACAGGUGGUGACUUCCAGCCAGAUCCUCUGCCCUCCUCGCAGAAGGAAGCUAAUGGGUUCUGUAGGAAAGCUGCACUGCAAUUGCUUUUUGCAACAAACAAACAAACAAACAAACAAAGCAUUCACCAAAACUCUUAAUUCUGCGUUAUCAUGAGGAGAUUGGACAACAAAAUGUUUUUCACAGCACUCCAUUGCUAGGAGAUCAGAGAUGACAGUAAAUCUCCGUUUCUAAACCACUCUACUUUUUAGAUAUUUAAUCACCCUGAAAAACGACUUUCUCAACAGAGCAGGGAUGUUUUAUUAAAGGUUUUGCUGCAAGGCUCUGGGGAGUGCUGGUACCUAAAUUCGAAGACAAUGAAUGAGAUUCUCCUUAUGCUGAAGGUGUUGAGCAGGGGUCUCUGCUCUCUGGACAAAUUCUCAUUGUUGGGGUAUUUAAAAAAAAAUAAAAUAAUUAAGAAUCUGCUUUACUCUCUAUUUCCAGCUGAAAAACAACUUGAACAGUAAACAAAGCAUCAAAAGAAGAAUCACAAGAAAUUGCCUUUAAGAAAGGGCCCGUGGCUGCAAACCCCGAGGGGGAGAAGAAACCUCCCUGCAUCCUCAGUGAGGGGCCAUGCAAGCAUCAAGAAAGGUGAUCCUAAGAGCUCCAUCCUCAGCAUUUUCUCCCCAUCAACUCCAGAUAAUGCCUUGUUCUACUGCUGGCACUUCCCUGUCCUGUGGCCAGUCCCAAAACAUGGACCUGCAGUACCUUCCAUCGAGCAUUGCGGCUCCGCUCAGCACCCUCCUCUCCCCCUGAGUCUCAGGGAACAGAGCUGCACUUUCAGUGUGAUAUCGCAGUUUUCAUGUUGUAAGCUUACCUCCUGUUUGUUCUGUCUGGUUGGGAGCUUUGGGUGUUAUUCCCCUGCAGCACUCGUGCCUACAGCAGAAGGGAAGGUUUAGAAGAGCUCAUUGCAAUUCAUGGGGAGUGGUGCAGUCCCAUGUGAAGAAGUUUAAUCCAAGCCAGCCUUCGAGAAUGGUUUAUUGCAGCCUUCUGUAUCACCCACAAACACUGCAGGGAAAAACAGGGAAGGAGAACAGUGUUAGAUAAGCUGCUUUAAAACGAUCUUCGUAAUCCUGCAAAUUAAAAUGUAUUUUAUUAAAUAUGCAUUACAGAUGCAAAAUAACCCAAGAAAGGCUGGAAGUGACCCUCCCCACAGGCAAUUCAUGGUACUCCUGCAGCUGCAACUGGCUGUCACCGAAAUGGCAGCUCUCUGGAGCUCAAGGAGCCAGCCCUCGGUGGCACGAGAAGCCCAGCCUUGCCUGGGGGACCUGCCCAGGGUAGCCUGUCCCACUGGCACAAGCCAUAUCAUUAAUACUUGCUUGAAAUCAGAUGUGAGGGCCAUCCCCUGUGUUACUUUGCAGCCACAGACAUGGGGCUUUCCAACCUCCUUGCAGCUCCAGCAUUUGUUGCUGUCGGGUGGCACAACAGGAAGGAAGAGGAGAAAUGAGAACAGGGAAUGGCCAAGAAGGGCUGGCAUCAUGCAGGGUUUUCAAAACUUGCCCAUUUGCUGCAAGUUCUUCAUAAAAGAUGAACAAGAAAAAGCUUAAAAUAUUGAGUAACACCAUCAGCUUUAUUCUUGCCGAGGUACCUGAGUCUCUGCCGAGAAGUGUGCCCCCCCCAUCAGCUGCACGUGGCAGCGAGGAGGCAAAGCAUCUUGGCCACGAUCACUGAAGGAUCUCUCCUAGGAUUUAGAGUACAUUUGGCUGCUCAUUCAU